UCAACUGGCUCGAAGACUGACAAUCACAAUUAUAACUCAUUGUGAUGAGCCCUCUGACAUGGAGAAAGGUCGACCAAAAGCCAGGGCUGGCCAGGAGCGCCAGUUGGAGGAGGGGCCACAUGAGCUGAGACUGAAAGAACGUGGCCGUGCUAGCCUACAGGAGGGGUGGCAUUCUAGAAAGAAGGAAUAACGGAGAGGAACUGGGGAGCAGAGCAGCCUGGGAUGCUCACAUGGAGUGUGGGCUCGGAGGCUGCAGAGAGGCAGGGCCAGGCUCUCUGGAAGUUGGGCUUGUGUGUCGGGGUCCUCUGGGAGAGCUCUCACCAGCUCCAGUUUCAAAGCUGGGGCCACCGUUUCCAACUGCACCCACCACUGCGCAGGUGGGGCUCUGAGGGUCCUCUCUCUCUCUCUCUCUCUUUCUCUCUCUCUCCCUCUGAGCUGGCCCUUUUCGGAAAUCCAGUUGCUGCCUCUGAGCCGUGACCCUCGUGGGCUCCUCCCUGGGCUGGGGAUGCUCCUGAGUGCUGCCAGGAAAAAGCCGCAGGUGUGGCGCCUGAGCACAGGACAGAGCUUCUGCACGGGACACGGAGAGAGAACAAUUCAGAAAGAUGACCUUGGCUCUGAUUCCCGGAAGGAGAGGCUGACCACUCACCGGAAGACACGCAGAGGGAAGAGAGGACUCCAAGUCUCUUCCAAACUUGGUCAUCUUGCUUUGGAGGCAACUGGGUUUGCUCAGACUUGGAUGGCAGGAGGGAACACUGGGGGAAGGGAUUUGGGUCCUCGGUGCGGAGAGGGUGGGGGCCCUUGGAGCCUUUCGGCCUGCUCUUAAGCGCGCAGUGGGAGAGAGACCGAGGAGCUGCUCUGAACUCAGCGUCUCCACUUUACCUCCCUUGAAACGGAGGUUUGCUGGGCAGCCGCAGGUGCAGAGUUGGAGGCUUGGACUGCAAUCUGCUGUGACUCUCCCCGCUGCUCAGGCCCUCCCAUGACGCCCCCAAACACACCAUGCACUUGUCAAUCAUCACCGUCUCCGGCGUGCGUUAUGAUCAUGGCUUGGCUCAUCCUGGGUCUCCCGCCUUUGCUCUGAGCUUUGUGGGGGACCCCGGUACCCAGCACUCAAUAUUUUCUGAGUGGACUCUGUCUGCUGUCGGAGCCCACGGCCUGACCUGGCCAUGGACGCCACCCCCAACCAGCCAGCCAGCCAGCCAGCAGCUCUGCCACACUGCCAGAUGUCCCGCGCCACACUCCAGACGUAAAAUGACAAUGAGAGACUCUCUCCCAUGAAGGCUGUCCAGGGUCCUUCUUUCCCGGCAUGGUAGCUACAUCCUCAAGUGCAAAUGGAUGGGAGAUAGAGCCAGAAAAUCCUGGCUCUGGACCUUCACACCUCACCUGUAAAGGGGCUUUUUCACUUGCCAAGCUGACAGCAAAAUCAUCUUUCCAGAGGCUGGAAGCCUUUUUCUCCCCAGGACAACUUCACCCGGGUUACUUGAUCUUAUUUUAGCUUUAGUCAGAGUGGGUUAUAAUAGUCUGUUCAGUGGCCUGCCUCCACCAUCAGACUGCCAUCUCCUCUGGGCCGGGACACUCUGGGCCACCUAGGGAUUCAUGCCCCCAUGCACAAUGCCCAGUACAGAGUGGAUGCACAAUAACUGUGAGCCAUGAUUUUAGAAGGGGAGCAGCACUGGUAGAGACAAAACCAGUAUUUGGCUGACCUGGGUUCAGAUUUCUCCUGUCAACCUUAGUACCUGGGAAACUUUGGGCAAGUUAAUCAGCCUAUCCGAGACUCAGUUUACUCAUCUGUAAUGUGGGACUAAAAAUAUACCUACUCACUGGUGGAUUGGAACAAAGUCAAUAAGGCGGGUGGAGGGAUGCACAGCCCAGUGUUUGGUACCCAGAAAACACGUGGUCAGAAAACGCACAUGAGCUGAUUUUCUUUCAUUAAUCCUAAGGGCCACAUAACCUGCUUAAAACUAACAUAAGUGAGUGAAAGCAAAUGAAUGAAUGCAUGAGUGGAUGUCCAGGUGUAUGGAUGGAUGGAUGGAUAGAUGGAUGAAUGAAUGAAAGAAAGAAAACACAGAAAAAGACUUUCUUAGAAGCAGAGCUGGGCCUCAUAAGAUGUAAUCUACGAAAGGAUUAGAAGCAUUUUUGUUCACUGAUUUUAAAAAUAGGGCAGUAGGUGUGCUUGGGUGGCUCAGUUGGUUA